rnacentral:rRNA from 1 species
GCUAAGCCAUAAACAUUGAUGGCCUUAUACAACGCCAUCCGCCAGAGAACUACUAGUGAAAAACUUAAAACUCAAAGGACUUGGCGGUGUCCCAUCUCGGCCUAGAGGAGCCUGUCCUAUAAUCGAUACUCCCCGUUUCACCCAACCUAUGAUUGCACACUCAGCCUAUAUACCGCCGUCGACAGUCUACCCCAUGAGGGCAUCUUAGUAGACACAAUAGCCAUCCCGCUAGAACGUCAGGUCAAGGUGUAGCAAAUACAUAGGAAGCGAUUGGCUACAUUUUUUACAUCAAAACAUACGAAAUGCAACAUGAAACAUUGCACGAAGGUGAAUUUAGCAGUAAAACAAACAAGAGAGUUUGUUUUAACACCGCUCUGGGACGCGC